rnacentral:rRNA from 1 species
GUCAGCUCGUGUCGUGAGAUGUUGGGUUAAGUCCCGCAACGAGCGCAACCCUUAUAUCUAGUUACCAGCAGUAAGAUGGGGACUCUAGAUAGACUGCCAUUGAUAAAAUGGAGGAAGGUGGGGAUGACGUCAAAUCAUCAUGCCCUAUAUGACCUGGGCUACAAACGUGCUACGAUGGCUGAAACAAAGAGAAGCGAGAGGGUGACCUUAAGCAAACCUCAUAAAAGCAGUCUCAGUUCGGAUUGAAGUCUGCAACUCGACUUCAUGAAGAUGGAAUCGCUAGUAAUCGCGAAUCAGAAUGUCGCGGUGAAUACGUUCUCGGGCUUUGUACACACCGCCCGUCAAACCAUGAGAGUUUGUAAUACCCGAAGCCGGUGGCCUAACGAAAGAGGGAGCCGUCUAAGGUAGGACAGAUGAUUGGGGUUAAGUCGUAACAAGGUAUCCCUACGAGAACGUGCGGUUGGAUCACCUC